rnacentral:rRNA from 1 species
CCUACGGGAGGCAGCAGUGGGGAAUAUUGGACAAUGGGCGAAAGCCUGAUCCAGCAAUGCCGCGUGAGUGAUGAAGGCCUUAGGGUUGUAAAGCUCUUUUACCAGGGAUGAUAAUGACAGUACCUGGAGAAUAAGCUCCGGCUAACUCCGUGCCAGCAGCCGCGGUAAUACGGAGGGAGCUAGCGUUGUUCGGAAUUACUGGGCGUAAAGCGUACGUAGGCGGUUAUUCAAGUCAGAGGUGAAAGCCCGGGGCUCAACCCCGGAACUGCCUUUGAAACUAGAUAGCUAGAAUCUUGGAGAGGUUAGUGGAAUUCCGAGUGUAGAGGUGAAAUUCGUAGAUAUUCGGAAGAACACCAGUGGCGAAGGCGACUAACUGGACAAGUAUUGACGCUGAGGUACGAAAGCGUGGGGAGCAAACAGGAUUAGAUACCCUGGUAGUCCACGCCGUAAACGAUGAUAACUAGUUGUUCGGGCACUUGGUGCCUGAGUGACGCAGCUAACGCAUUAAGUUAUCCGCCUGGGGAGUACGGUCGCAAGAUUAAAACUCAAAGAUAGUAGCGUGAGACGUGCGACGACGACGACAGGGAGUAGAG